rnacentral:miRNA from 1 species
UUUAGACAAGCUGUUGAGCCCAG